CAAGGGUGUCUGGAUGAGAACCCCACAGAGGCCACUUGCAGAAGUCUUUAUCCCCACUGUAAUCCUCUCUCAUUUUGUGGAACAUGAACCACAUGUUUCCUUAUGUGCAGUAGGGGACAAUAACAAUUACUUAACAUGCUACUCGAAAUAAUAAGGGUGGGUACAGAGCUCCCAGAAUGAAAAUCCCACUGAAUUUAAGAUUGGAUGAAGGCGAUCAUAAUGCCCACCAUUAACCUGUAUGAAAAAAUUGUCUUUUUCUUUUAGCUGCCAUCCUGCAAUUCAGCUUGUUACCAUCCUCCUCCCUUCUAAGGAAAGACCUCCACUGCAGAGUUAUCUUAGACCACAGUAGUGUCAAAUCUGAUCUAUGUUUUCACUGCAGUCUCAUCAUCCAAAAGGGUACAAAAUGCUCCUGGAGACUGAGCCAGCUGGGCAAACUGACCUCCCGAGGCUGCAGGGCAGCUUGCAGGUGGAUCCCACCCCAGCAGGAUACAACCAGCAUGAGGAUGGGAACACUCAGCUUUGGACAGAGCUGUGAGCAGGUUUAUCACAGUCAUAUUCAACUUCUGGCUUGGACAAAUCCCGACAAAAUGUACAAAUCCACUCUCCACUAAAGAAGACAAACAGACACAUUGACCUCAGUGAGGGAGCACUCUUUGCUGGAAGGCUUUUCACAUAUUUCUGGUUGCACUGCUGUCACUAAUUGUGUCCCAGCAGAAAGACAGAUGGUCUCUACCUUUGUCAAUACUGAAUUUUUUCACUUGAGCUCACAGGAUUUAAGGACUGCACUAUGAAGAGUCCUGUACAACCACAACUACAGAGAGACUGAAGGAGUAAUAUGGGCUGAACAAAAGGAAAAGUGUUAGUCUUGUGUGGUGAGAACUACAUACCCUCUACAACCUUGAUCUACAGUACCUUACUAAUCAAGAGAUGACCAUAGACAGGGUUCUUUGUAAAACUGAAAAUACUUCACUCCCAAAACCUUUCAGAUGUUCAUGAUUUUACCGGUUUGUGUAAGACAAUAUUGGAGAUUUAAAUGUCAGUGUAAGGUUAUAAGAGAGUUAGUUCUGCAAGCUAUGUCCACUGAUUGUUGAACACAAUUUAUGAACUUGAAAAACUGAAAAAACUAUGAAGAGUCUAUAUUUUUAAUAUACCUCUCUACAAAAAAAAAAACACCAAAAAAACCCCUGCACCCUUGCAGAUAACCACUAGAGGGCUGAAUCACCACACAACAGAAUCCAGCAAUAACCCAUUAUGGGAUCAACUGCAUUUAUAUGCCAGAGGUAUGUUAUUAUAAAGAGUGUCUUCAUAAAUGGCAAAUAUUUCUGCAGAAGCCGUUUUUCAUUUCAAUAUUAAGGCAGAAGGCGUCACAAAUUUAAAAAGAAAAUCUUACUAUUUUCUAUUCAGUUGAUCCAAAAAUUUUCACUAUCUGCCAGUUUUAGCAUGCAGUGGUGAAUGAUGGACAUUUUGCUUCAAGAAGUUUUACCUUCUACUGGCUUAACUUCACAGAAUGAUUUAUGACAGUGUCACCUCUAUGCCUGGACUAGCCUUACAGAAAUGAUGUAGCAGAUAGACAAAAAUUGACACAUACCAUGACCUAAAGAUAUUGUGAUACAAGACAUCAAGGAACAAAUUAAAGACAGAAGAAUGAUGCAUUAAGAUAUCUAAGAAUCAGGAACAAUGUGGUAGGUUGGAAUAAAGGAAAGAAUAUGCUGUGACCUUACAACUCUAGGUGGGAACAUUGUUUUAAACUGAAAGAAAGUAGAUUCAGACUGGAUACAAAGGAAAAGUUUUUUAAGGUGAGUACUCUGGAACACUGGCACAGGCUGCCCAGAGAGGUGGUGCAUGCCCUAUCCAUGGAAACAUUCCAGGCCAGGUUGGAGGGGACUCUGAGCAACCUCAUCUAGUCGAUGUCCCUGAGCAUUGCAGGGGGGUUCAAAUUAGAGGACCUUUGAAGGUCCCUUCCAACCCAAAACACCCUGUGACUAUGAACCUCUGAAAUUGCUCUAUCCAUCUGAAACAGGAACAAAAAGCAACCCUGAAAGCAGCAGACUGCCAUAAUAACAAUAUUAUUUUGUGUGUUUGAAGGAACUAAUGAUAACAGGCUAAAGUUUGUUUGGCAGACUUACAGCUGGGGGAAAAAAAAGGCAAGCAAAGCCACAAACAUGAGAACAAAAACCUGAUACAUCAGAAGUCAGGAGGAAACUUCAGCUAACUGUGCUCUGGAGGCCAUGAACACAAUGCACCUGUAAUAAUAUGCACCUUUACAGAUCUGCACACCUGCCAUCAAAGUGACUUUUGGCUCCUUGCCCUCACACAUCUUUACCUGUUUCCCCUGAAUGAUCAAGUAAAAAUGAAGCAUUUUAAAGACUUGUUAUUGAAUAUUUAAUUUUAAUACCAACCAAGUCUUGAAAUGCAUUGUUAUCUGUCUGCUUCAAGAUUACUUUUUGUUUCCGUGCCAGAAAGAAUAUUUAUUUAUCUAAAUGCUUACUGUAGCCUUACUGCAUUUACCUUAUGGCAUUAAGCUGUAACAUAGCAUUGUUUUAAUAAAAAAAAAAAAAAGCUGGAAUUUGAAGUUUCAAAAAGAGAAACAUUUUUAUGUGCCGUUUCAAGUAGCAUUUAAAAGAAAGACACACUUUCCAGAAGUAUGCCUGUUCAGAGUAGCACAGAGAUCCACGUGCUAAUCUAAGCUGCUAUCCAAAUGUUCUAUACCAGUAAACUAUCCUGAUAUUUAAUCGGAAGACCUCUUAUUUAUAAAAGCAUUAACCACUGAGCAUGUUAUGACCAAUGUUUUUAUCCUUUAAUCCAAACAAGCUUAUUACGUGACAUUUCCAAGCUGGGGCUUUGCAAAAUGCUGUUUAUUUUAAUCAAAGACA